AUGGUCAUUAAGAGGCUACCAAACAACCCCUUAUUAAUUCCAUCAUUCAUCAUCUCCUCCCAAUUUGUGUGUACAUGUGAAAUUAGAGACAACCCUGAAGAAAACCAACUCUUCACCUGAUCAUGAUCAGGUAUUUUGUUUUCAGAUUUCCUGGUGUACUUUCCUCCGGUACCGACGGCUUGAUCUGAGAAAAAAAAGAGGCAAUUACGAGGUGAAGGGACACUAAUGACCGCGGAAGCGACCAGAGAAUGAAAAAAAUGAAGCUCCACAACCCUAACGUCACAGUUGUUCGUCAACCCUCCGGCUCCGGUUAUCAAUUUCAUCGGCGGCGAUCAUGAAUUCGUGGAAUUUGCGGUAAGGGAUUUAGUGAUAUAU
rnacentral:lncRNA from 1 species